rnacentral:rRNA from 1 species
UACGUAGGGGGCGAGCGUUGUCCGGAUUCAUUGGGCGUAAAGCGCGCGCAGGCGGCCGCGAGAGCCCGGCGUGAAAGCCCCCGGCUCAACCGGGGGAGGCCGUCGGGGACCUCGCGGCUGGAGGCCGGUAGGGGCGAGCGGAAUUCCCGGUGUAGCGGUGAAAUGCGCAGAUAUCAGGAGGAACACCUAUUGCGAAGGCAGCUCGCUGGGACGUAACUGACGCUGAGACGCGAAAGCGUGGGGAGCAAACAGG